rnacentral:lncRNA from 1 species
UCAGGAACAAUGACAAGGAAAAAGUCUAUAUACAUUCAGUAUGGAUAAAUUUUUUGUUUGUUUUUUAAAUGCUUUUGAUUUUCAGUUGGCUGAUUCUGUGGAUGUGGAACCCUCAGAUACAGAAUGUCAACUAUACAUUUCACAGAGACAGAGAAAGAAUUUUCUAAUGAAAACAACUUUUCUAUAGAAAAUACUUUAAGAAGGAGGAAGUCAAGGACCUAUGAAUAAGAAGAAACCUGUCUAAAAUUUGGAAUGACAGGUAACACUAAGGAGGCUGUCUUGGUCAUAACAUUCUUCUCAUCAUCACCAAGCCUUCCAAAUUGUCCCAUCUGCUCUAAAACUGGCCUCUGGAGCAAUAAUGGAAGCAAUCUUCUUUACAGUUUUCUACAUGAAAUCAAUCUGCCAACAGGAGCAAAUUCAUUUUCAACUUUUUCUUUUAGAAGAAUGACAAGUUAUCUCUGAUGUCUGGU